rnacentral:rRNA from 1 species
UACAGAGGGUGCGAGCGUUAAUCGGAAUUACUGGGCGUAAAGCGCACGUAGUCGGCUUUGCAAGUCGGGUGUGAAAUCCCCGGGCUCAACCUGGGAACUGCAUCCGAGACUGCAUUGCUAGAGUAUGGGAGAGGGAAGCGGAAUUUCUGGUGUAGCAGUGAAAUGCGUAGAUAUCAGAAGGAACAUCAGUGGCGAAGGCGGCUUCCUGGAUCACCCCUGACGCUGAGACGCGAAAGCGUGGGGAGCGAACGGG